GCUCUCAUAGCUCAGUUGGUAGAGCGCGGCACUAGUAUCUAAUAGCAAUAUCUUGAUAUGCCGAGGUCUGCAGUUCAAAUCUGUAUGAGAGCA
rfam:Pseudogymnoascus sp. 23342-1-I1 unplaced genomic scaffold scaffold_11, whole genome shotgun sequence.